UUGGUUAAGUUAGAAAGGGCGCACGGUGGAUGCCUUGGCACUAGGAGCCGAAGAAGGACGGGACUAACACCGAUAUGCUUUGGGGAGCUGUACGUAAGCGUUGAUCCAGAGAUUUCCGAAUGGGGGAACCCACUAUCUUUAGUCGGAUAGUAUCCUUACGUGAAUACAUAGCGUGAGGAAGGCAGACCCAGGGAACUGAAACAUCUAAGUACCUGGAGGAAGAGAAAGAAAAAUCGAUUUCCUGAGUAGCGGCGAGCGAAACGGAAAGAGCCCAAACCAAGAAGCUUGCUUCUUGGGGUUGUAGGACACUCUAUACGGAGUUACAAAAGAAAGUUAUAAAUGAAGCGGUCUGGAAAGGCCCGCCAAAGACGGUAACAGCCCGGUAGUUGAAAUGGCUUUCCCUCCAGAGUGGAUCCUGAGUACGGCGGAACACGUGAAAUUCCGUCGGAAUCCGGGAGGACCAUCUCCCAAGGCUAAAUACUCCCUAGUGACCGAUAGUGAACCAGUACCGUGAGGGAAAGGUGAAAAGCACCCCGGAAGGGGAGUGAAACAGUUCCUGAAACCGUGUGCCUACAAGUAGUUAGAGCCCGUUAAUGGGUGAUAGCGUGCCUUUUGUAGAAUGAACCGGCGAGUUACGAUUUGUUGCAAGGUUAAGCGGAAAAAGCGGAGCCGUAGCGAAAGCGAGUCUGAAUAGGGCGCAUAAGUAACAGGUCGUAGACCCGAAACCAGGUGAUCUACCCAUGUCCAGGAUGAAGGUAAGGUAAUACUUACUGGAGGUCCGAACCCACGCACGUUGAAAAGUGCGGGGAUGAGGUGUGGGUAGCGGAGAAAUUCCAAUCGAACUUGGAGAUAGCUGGUUCUCUCCGAAAUAGCUUUAGGGCUAGCCUCGAGGUAAAGAGUCAUGGAGGUAGAGCACUGUUUGGACUAGGGGCCCUUCUCGGGUUACCGAAUUCAGAUAAACUCCGAAUGCCAUGUACUUAUACUCGGGAGUCAGACUGCGAGUGAUAAGAUCCGUAGUCGAAAGGGAAACAGCCCAGACCACCAGUUAAGGUCCCCAAAUAUAUGUUAAGUGGAAAAGGAUGUGGGGUUGCUUAGACAACCAGGAUGUUGGCUUAGAAGCAGCCACCAUUGAAAGAGUGCGUAAUAGCUCACUGGUCGAGUGACCCCGCGCCGAAAAUGUACCGGGGCUAAACAUAUUACCGAAACUGUGGAUGAACCUCUUUAGAGGUUCGUGGUAGGAGAGCGUUCUAAGGGCGGUGAAGUCAGACCGGAAGGACUGGUGGAGCGCUUAGAAGUGAGAAUGCCGGUAUGAGUAGCGAAAGAAGGGUGAGAAUCCCUUCCACCGAAUAUCUAAGGUUUCCUGAGGAAGGCUCGUCCGCUCAGGGUUAGUCGGGACCUAAGCCGAGGCCGAUAGGCGUAGGCGAUGGACAACAGGUAGAGAUUCCUGUACCAGUGCUAAUUGUUUAACCGAUGGGGUGACACAGAAGGAUAGGGAAUCGCACGAAUGGAAAUGUGCGUCCAAGCAGUGAGUGUGAGAAGUAGGCAAAUCCGCUUCUCGCGAAGCAUGAGCUGUGAUGGGGAAGGAAAUUAAGUACGGAAGUUCCUGAUUUCACGCUGUCAAGAAAAGCCUCUAGGAAGAGUAGUACUGCCCGUACCGCAAACCGACACAGGUAGAUGAGGAGAGAAUCCUAAGGUGAGCGAGAGAACUCUCGUUAAGGAACUCGGCAAAAUGACCCCGUAACUUCGGGAGAAGGGGUGCUCUAUUAGGGUGCAAGCCC
rnacentral:rRNA from 1 species